UAUAUCCACGAGGAAGAAAACAAUCCUACGUGAAUCCCAACCUCACUUUAUUAGGUGACAGGUUGUAACGUGAUGUUAUAUAUUAAUUGAACUCGCAAUAGAAAUAUCUAAAUAGAGAUCACAGUCAAGCUGUAAUAAUCUGGUUUACGCUGCCAACAUUGAUUAUCCUUAUUAAUAUAUGCUAAUAUGCAAUAACUUAUACAAGUACACAUCCCAUCAAGUCACGGAGGCAAAUACAAGUCAUCAUAAGUUCAACGCAAGGGUAUGAGAUUCCGGCUAUUAUUUCUAACACUAAAGUGAUCAUACCUCAAGAUUAUUCGCAAAGCAAGAUGCAGCGAGUUGCGCAUCCAUGGCUGAACUCCAGGCAGUCCUCAGAGAGCCCACCAAGGUGUAUUCCAGCUAGCAGCACUCAGUAUCGUCAGCAUCAGCUUCUUCAGUUGAGAUCCAUUUGCAUCGAGGGGCAAUAUUUCCAUUCUCCAUUAUUGAAAAAGGUUUGAAGGGAUCAAAGCCAUACUGCAGUGGCAGUCUUUAUAUAAGUUCACACGGUCCGAUGAAAGUUUCUAAUAUUCUUCACAAAAUCAGAUGAUACCUAUGAUUUUAUACAACAGGCACCAGCAUUAUAAUGAAUAUAUGAAGAUCAUUAAUAAAGAAAGAUUUCUUCUUCAACUACUUAUCAGGAUAGGCUAGAAGAGGCCAAAAACCAGUACAAUGACAGUCUUCAUGUAAAUUCACACAGCCCAAUGAGAGCUUCCAAUAUUCUUCACAAAUUAUCAAAUAGUAAUGAUGACUUUAUACAACAAGCACCAGCAUUAUAAUAAAUAUGAAGAUUAUCAAUAAGAAAAGACUUAUUCAUUUAUUAUUCUUCAACUACUUAUCAGAUCACAAUAGAAAGGCUUGAAGAAUCAAGAUACAAUGGCAAUCUUCGUACAAAUUAACACAGCUCAAUGAGAAUUUCUAGUAUUCUUCACAAAUUAUCAGAUGACAACAGACAUCAGCAUUAUUAUAGAAUGAAGAUCAUCAAUGAAGAAAGAUUUCAUCUUACUACUUGUCAGGUCACAAUAGUAUAUGAAAAGCUUGAAAAGAGCAAAAACCACACUACGAUGGGAAUCUCCAUAUAAGUUCAUUCAGCCCAGGAAAAUUUCUCUGGUAUUCUUCGUCUAUACUACAAGUCAACAUCAGACCAUGCUUGUACAUAUAUCCAGAAAUUUCAGGGUUGUAUAAAACAACGCUUCUCACAUACCACUAAGAGAGUGCUUCAUAUUAUGAUGAUAUUUCUCACUACGCCAGGAUAACAGGGCCACAGAUUCAAGUUCAAUAAUCCCUUCCUCAGUAUUAAAUAGAAAGACCACCAUGUUACUAUCAAGACCAACCGUAUCACCGAUAAGGGAUUAAUUAAGGAAAGAACCUUACACAUAUCUUGUAACCAGUCUAUCUUAAUUGAUUAAUUGAUUUACUCGUAUCAAAAGAGUCACAGUUUAUCAUAUACAUUGAUAAACAAAUGUUUUACGUGCUACAUCCCAUCACUAUAUUAAGUGCAGAGUUAUGUAAAACAACGCUUCUCACAUACCACUAAGAAGUACUUGAUAUUAUGAUAUUUCUCACUACACCAGGAUAUCAAGGCCACAUGCUCAAGCUCAGUAACCUUUUCCUCAGUAUUAUAGAUAGAAAGACUAGCUAUAUUACUAUCGAGGCAACAACUGUAUCACCAAUAAGAGAUUAAUUAUAAAGUCUCACACGUGUCUUAUAUCCAGCCUAACUUAUAGUUUAAUUGAUUUACACAUAUCAAGAGAAUCACAGUUCAUCAUAUAUAAUAAACAGAUGUAUUACAUGUUACAUUCCAUCACUGUGUAAACACAGAUCUAAUACAACAUAAAAAGAGCGGAUUAUGCUGCAAUUGUAGUCUAUAUUAGCUUAGUUCGCAGAAGACAUCUAUUAUUACAAGUCUAUAACUAUACAUAUCACACCAGGAUGCCAGAGCCACACAUUCAAGUUCAAUAAACUUUCCCUCAGUGUCACAGACAGAAACCAGCUAUGUUACUGUCAGGACAACAACUGUAUCGCCAAUGAAAGGCUAAAAAGUCUCACACGUUUCUUAUAUCCAGUCUAACUUAGUUGUUCAACUGAUUUACACAUAUCAAAAGAGUCACAGUUUAUUAUAUAUAUUGAUAAACAAAAGUUUACGUGUUACAUUCCAUCACUGUGUUAAUCACAGAUCUAACACUUUAUAAGAAGAGCAAAUUAUGCUACAACUAUAGUGUUCGUGAUUCGAGGAGUUUCACUCGAAUGUCGUGAACGCGUGCGGCGGGUUCCGCUCCGCGAGAACGCGGGAUGAAUGUGCGAUGAGAGAGACGGCGGUAUAGCGUUGAGAAGGAGCGAGAGAGACAGAGUGAUAGAACGUUGAGAAGGAAAGAGAGAGACAGAAUGAUAGUGGACCGCGACCGCGAGACUGAAGAUUGAAGACGGGAGCGAGCGAGAGGAACAGAUUUAUAAAUGCACCAUGGUUGAAUCAAAUUAA